GGGUGGGAUUGGGAGUGUUCUGUUUUCAUUACUGCACCCCUUCCCCUAAAGACAACGGGACUGCCCUCCUCCACAGCGCCUUACCUCAAACAGGGGACCGAUCUUGUUCUUCUCCAGAUCUCCUUUUUUCUAAUCUUUUCUUCUGGGAGAAGAUAGUGCCUCUUAUGCUUAUGCUGCAAUUAAGCAACUUGUGGAAGAGGCUUAUGUGGUGACAUUAGGAAAAAAGUUAAACAGCUUUAUAAGACAUGAUGAAAGCAGCCAUCCCCUAGUUCCUUCUUCACCCUGAUCUGUGAUCUCCAGAGGAAAUGAUGUUCAACUCAUUUUUUUCUGGUUGGACACCUAAUUUGCACAUCAGGACUGCCAUGGACCAUGGUGCAAUGAAGGUGAAGACUGGAGCACUCAUCACCCACGGGUCUCACUUUGUUGCCCAGGCUGGAGUAUAGUGCCCUGAUCACAGCUUGCUGCAACCUCAAGCUCCCAUGCUCAAGCAAGCUUCCUGCCUCAACUUCCCAAGUAGCUGAGACCACAGGCAUGCUCCAUGACACCUGAACUCCUGAACUCAAGCGAUCCUCCUGCCUCAGCCUUCCAAAGUGCUGGGAUUACAGGCAUGAGCCCCUGAACCCUGCCUACCCUCUGUUUCUAUGUGGUGUUUGUCUUUCUAAGCCUGGCCUAUUUCGUGUAACAUAAUUUCCUCCAGAUUUAUCCAUAUUGUCUCAAAUGACCAGAUUUCUUUCUUUUUUAAGGCUGAAUAGUAUUCCAUUGUACAUAUAUACUACAUUUUAUUUAUCCAUUCAUCUGUUGAUGGACACUUAGGUUGAUUCCAUAUCUUGGCUAUUGUGAAUAAGCUGCAAUGAACAUAGGAGUGCAGAUACUGCUUUGACAUAUUCAUUUCAUUUUCUUUGGAUAUGUAUCCAGAAGUGGAAUUGGGCUGGAAUAUAGGCAGUUCUAUUUUUAAUAUUUUGAGGAAACUCCAUAUUACUUUCCAUAAUAGCUGUGCUAAUUUACAUUCCCACCGCCAAUGUAUAAGGGCUUCCUUUUCUCCACAUCCUCUCCAACACUGGUUAUCUCUUGUCUUUUUGAUAUGUUUUCUCUUCUCUGUAAAGCUAUUGGUUGUAGCAUUUUACUUUUUCCAAAUUUUUUUAAUCAAACUUUUGAAAUGUAUAGCUGAAAUGAAAGAAUUUUAGCAUGAAUGCUAAUAUACACUCAGCACCUAUAUUCUUGCUUUUUCAUGUAUUUACUCCUGAAUUAAUAUAUUACUUGUUAUAUGCUUUUGAAAGUAAACUGCAAACAAGUGCAUGCUUCUCCUAGAUCUUUCCACAUGCUCUGCCAUUAAUUAGAGUUCAAUGUUCAAUUUUUUCCUUUUGAUGUACAAUUAAUACACAAUUAAUUUACACACACAUUUUACUUAGUUCUGAAAAAUGUAUAUACUUUUAUAACUCAAAGCCCAUCAUUAUACAACAUUACUAUCACCCUAGCAAAAUCUUUUGUGUCCCUUCUCAAUCACCAAUCCUGACCACACCCCAAGAAAACUACUGUUCAAAUUUUUCUCCAUCAUUGAUUGGCUUUGUCUGUUUUAGAACUUCAUAAAACUAAAAUACUGUAGUAAAUUAUGUACAAUUUUAUGACUAGCUUCCUUUGCUCAAUAUAAUGUUUUCGAGAUUUAUUCAUAUUGCUGCAUGUCAGUAGUUGGUUCUUUUUAUUGCUGCAUAUUUCAUUGAAUAAAAAUGCCAAAGCUUGUUUAUUCAUUCUUGUCUCACAUCAAAGUAUCUGGGGGAUGUUUUCCACUUUUGGCUAUUAGAAAUGAAACAGAUUUGAAUAUUGUCGUACAGGCUUUUUAUGCAUAUAUAUGCCUUCUUUGAGUAAAUACCCAGAAAUUAUGUUACUGGAUCAUAGGUUAAUAUAUGUUUAGUUUUAGAAGAAAAUGCUACCUCUUUUUUCCAAAAUAUUGUCCCAUUUUACACUCCCAGCAGUAAUGUAUGAGAUUUCCAGUUGCUGCACAUCCUUACCAAAAAUUAGCUUUUCUAAUUUUAGUCAUUGUAAGGGGUGUGUAGUGGUGGCUCUAUGUAGUUCUAAUUUGCAUUUCUCUAAUGACUAACGAUGUUAAACAUAUUUUUAUGUACUUGUUUCAUGUACUUGUUGAUAUGUCUAUUCAAUUCCUUUCACCAUUUUUAUGGAGCUGUUUUUUUAUUAUUGAGUUGUAGGAUUUCUUUAUAUAUGCUGCAUACCAGGCCUUUGUUAUAUACAUGCUUUGCAAUGUACAUUGUCUUAAAAUCUGUGGCUUGCCUGUUCAAUUCAUUAGUGGUGUUUUGUUAAGCAGUUUUUAAUUUUGAUGAAGUGUAACUUAUUCAUUUUUUAUUAUGGUUAUUGCUUUAUGUUUCAGGUCCCAAAUUUUGCCUUCUCACAAAUCACAAACAU
ensembl:lncRNA C8orf34-AS1 C8orf34 antisense RNA 1